rnacentral:rRNA from 1 species
CAGUUCAGAUUGCAGGCUGAAACUCGCCUGCGUGAAGUUGGAAUUGCUAGUAAUCGUGAAUCAGCAUGUCACGGUGAAUACGUUCCCGGGUCUUGUACACACCGCCCGUCAAACCAUGAGAGUUGGGAAUGCCCGAAGUCUGUUGUCUAACCGCAAGGGGGACGCAGCCGAAGGCAGGCUCAAUGAUUGGGGUUAAGUCGUAACAAGGUAAC